AGUUAACGCUGGCGGUAGGCCUAACACAUGCAAGUCGAACGGCAGCACAGUAAGAGCUUGCUCUUACGGGUGGCGAGUGGCGGACGGGUGAGGAAUACAUCGGUAUCUACUUUUUCGUGGGGGAUAACGUAGGGAAACUUACGCUAAUACCGCAUACGACCUACGGGUGAAAGCAGGGGAUCUUCGGACCUUGCGCGAUUGAAUGAGCCGAUGUCGGAUUAGCUGGUUGGCGGGGUAAAGGCCCACCUAGGCGACGAUCCGUAGCUGGUGUGAGCGGAGGAUCGGCCACACUGGAGCUGAGACACGGUCCAGACGCCUGCGGGAGGCAGCAGUCGGGAAUAUUGGACAAUGGGGGGAAGCCUGAUCCAGCCAUACCGCGUCGGUGGAGAAGGCCUUCGGGUUGUAAAGACGUUUUGUUGGGAAAGAAAAGCAGCAGGUUAAUACCCCGCUGUUCUGACGGUACCCAAAGAAUAAGCACCGGCUAACUUCGUG
rnacentral:rRNA from 1 species